CAGUCGCCGCGGUAAGACGGAGGGUGCUAGCGUUGUUCGGAAUCACUGGGCGUAAAGGGCGCGUAGGCGGCCUGUUAAGUCGGAUGUGAAAGCCCGGGGCUCAACCCCGGAACUGCAUCCGAGACUGGCAGGCUUGAGACCGGGAGAGGAGGGUGGAAUAUCCAGUGUAGAGGUGAAAUUCGUAGAUAUUGGAUGGAACACCGGUGGCGAAAGCGGCUCUCUGGCCCGGAUCUGACGCUGAGGCGCGAAAGCGUGGGGAGCAAACAGGAUUAGAGACCCCUGUAGUCCCUGUCUCUUAUAC
rnacentral:rRNA from 1 species